rnacentral:tRNA from 3 species
GCGCCCAUAGCUCAGGUGGAUAGAGCGGCGGUUUCCUAAACCGCAGGCCACAGGUUCGAGUCCUGUUGGGCGCACCA